rnacentral:lncRNA from 1 species
UCCAUGUUGGAACCAUCUCAUGAAGAUCACCUGCUAAUUUUUAGCUUCUCCUUGGUGGCUCCUGGCACAAUUUAACCUCAGAUCUUUGACCAGCUAUGAGUCUGUGCACGAACUGCUGCUUACUGAAAAAUAAGGUCUCCUUGCUCAAGGAUGAGAGCAGCAUUCAUUUACGGAAAGAAUUGCUGGCACAGCUGCCUGAGUAGAAAGGAUCGCUUUCAGCAAGCUCAG